UACAGAGGAUGCAAGCGUUAUCCGGAAUGAUUGGGCGUAAAGCGUCUGUAGGUGGCUUUUUAAGUCCGCCGUCAAAUCCCAGGGCUCAACUCUGGACAGGCGGUGGAAACUACCAAGCUGGAGUACGGUAGGGGCAGAGGGAAUUUCCGGUGGAGCGGUGAAAUUCGUAGAUAUUGGGAAGAACACCGGUGGCGAAGGCGGCUCACUGGCCCGUAACUGACGCUCAUGCACGACAGCGUGGGGAUCAAACAGG
rnacentral:rRNA from 1 species